UACGAAGGGGGCUAGCGUUGUUCGGAAUCACUGGGCGUAAAGGGCGCGUAGGCGGCUGUUCAAGUCGGGGGUGAAAGCCUGUGGCUCAACCUGGGAACUGCGUCCGAUACUGGAUGGCUUGAAUCCGGGAGAGGGAUGCAGAAUUCCAGGUGUAGCGGUGAAAUGCGUAGAUAUCUGGAGGAAUACCGGUGGCGAAGGCGGCAUCCUGGACCGGCAUUGACGCUGAGGAGCGAAAGCCAGGGGAGCAAAGC
rnacentral:rRNA from 1 species